rnacentral:lncRNA from 1 species
AAACUACAAAAAAUGAAGGAUGAAUUCAUAGGUUCAGCCCUGGAACUUAUUAAGAAAAGCUGCAAUGCCGAGACUGCUGCCAAAUCCGCCGCCAAGGGAGAGCGUGAUCUGAGGAAAGACGAUCUCCCACCUCCAGAGGACAGCCAGCAACCCACAGUGAUGUCCAUGGCAACAGAGACCUGGGAGAACAAGCCAAGCAAUGAGGCAUCCAGCGAUGCUCAACCUGCAGGGAACACCUCCAGUCCUGCCUGCCRCCGAUCCAGCUCUGACAUCGCCCAUGAGAGCACGGACAGUGCCAAGGCCCAGCGAGAGUGCCGGCUGCGGCCGCACUUCAGUGACCCCAUG